rnacentral:rRNA from 1 species
AUACGGAGGGUGCAAGCGUUACUCGGAAUCACUGGGCGUAAAGCGCGCGCAGGCGGCUUGAUAAGUUGGAUGUGAAAGCCUACGGCUCAACCGUAGAACUGCAUCCAAAACUGUCAGGCUAGAGUGUGGGAGAGGAAGAUGGAAUUAGUUGUGUAGGGGUAAAAUCCGUAGAGAUAACUAGGAAUACCAAAAGCGAAGGCGAUCUUCUGGAACAGUACUGACGCUGAGGCGCGAAAGCGUGGGAGCAAACAGGAUUAGAAACCCUAGUAGUCC